GACUGCAAAUGAUAACGUUACAGUGACAUAUUGCUACAGUCCUGCAUUCAGGCUCUGGACUCGGUGGCUAAGGCUGUGUUGGUCAACUUCGCCGCUGAGGGUGGUCCACGUGUGAUCCGUGCAUCGCUUUCCUGUGGAUGGAGAUUUGGGUCAUUUCCAGUUUGCAGCUAUUCCGAGUGAUGCUAUGAACAUUCUGGAACAUUUCUUUUGGCGGUCUUGGAGAGUUGUGGGGUCAGAGGUGUUUGUCCAGCUCUAGAGGACACUGCCCAACAGUUUUCCGGGGUGGCUGUGCCCUCGCUCCAGUGUGUCUGCGCCCACACUGCCUACGGCCUGUCACUGCCUGGUGCAGCACUUUCCUUAAGAAUGAAGUUACUGGCCAUUGUCAUCUUCUUUUUAAAUAUUUAUUUGGCUGCACCAGGUCUUUAGUUGCGGCAGUCAGGAUCUUCGUUGCAGCGUGUGGGAUCUAGUUCCCUGACCAGGGAUCGAACCCCUGGACCCCUGCAUUGGGAGCACAGUCUUAACCGCUGGACCACCAAGGAAGUCCCCACUGGCAUCUUCCUUUGUGAAGAUGUGUGUCUCUUCAGUGCUUCUGCCUCUUUUCUAUGCCUUUUUCUUAUUGAUCUGUAGGAGUUUGUUACCCAUUCUGGGUAAGGAUUCUGUUUUGAAUAUUUGUACUAUGAAUAUCUCCCCCCCAUCUCAACUUUUCAAUCUCUUAACAGUGCCUUUUGAUGAACAGAAGUUUUAAAUUUUAACAUAGUCCAAAUUAUCAACAAUGUUCUUUAUGCUUA